UACGUAGGGGGCAAGCGUUGUCCGGAGUUACUGGGCGUAAAGCGUUCGUAGGUGGCUUGUUAAGUCAGACGUGAAAUCCCUCAGCUUAACUGGGAACUGCGUCUGAGACUGAUGAGCUUGAGUGCAGGAGAGGAACGCGGAAUUCCAGGUGUAGCGGUGAAAUGCGUAGAUAUCUGGAGGAACACCGGUGGCGAAGGCGGCGUUCUGGACUGCAACUGACACUGAGUGAACGAAAGCCAGGGGAG
rnacentral:rRNA from 1 species